rnacentral:lncRNA from 1 species
AGACUUCAUACCAAAUGAGAAAAGCAGAAUUCGCAUUUUGUUUAAGCCACAACCAGAUUGCAAUCAACACUGUUGCACAAUGAACUUCUCUGCACACAUCCUGGAAGAACCAGAAUCCUAGGAGCAUGGAAGACUUAAUUCAUUCAACAGUAACCACCUCUUUUUAGCCUAAGAUUUGGCAGCCGAACAACAGAACAGGAAUUAUGUCAGCUUUUCUGCUUAGCAUGAGCUCUGCCCCAGAACCAAUGACAUAAAAUAUGUAUGUUUGCUUUCCCUGCCACAAAGUUGCGACACAUUAUCAAAGCUUUACAAAGUCACUCUAUCUUAGGACACCCCUAGACAACUUGUUUCCAUCUUACUUCUGGGACAAAAAUAUUUACUGCAUCCUGCUUUCAUUGUCUUUGUGAAUAUUACAUUAAAUGUUGACAUGUGCUUGGCAAUUCA